rnacentral:lncRNA from 10 species
GUUUGUGACAGGGUUCCCCCUGUGGCCUGCUGGGCUGUAGGGUUUUUCCCCUCCCUCCUUCUCCCUGUGCCCAAGGACCUCCUGUCCUUCUCCACUCCAUCCCCGUACCACUGUCCAGCUGCCAUAGUGCUCAGGGGACCUGCAGCCUUCUUCCCACUUCUCUUCUUCCAUCCAAGCUGCCUUGAACUCCUCACUUCCAUGUAUCUUUCCUUGUCUGGCCUCCCCUGGGUUGGAAUAUUUGUCUUCCCUUCUUUGACGCUGCAACUUGGAAAUGAAGCCCAGCCUCAGUGCCUUAGCUGAGUGCGACCACCUCCUCUAUCUCUGCUCGCCGAUGCUUCUAGCACUUGCAAUCAGUCCUGUGUCCAGACUCUGAAUCAUAGGCUGCCAGGCUUUCAGAUUCAGACUGGAACUUCACCACCAGCCUUCCUGGGCCUCAAGCUUGCAGACGGCAGAUGGUGAGACUUCUCAGCCUCCAUAAUUUUUUC